rfam:TPA: Bos taurus chromosome 18, whole genome shotgun sequence.
UCCCUGGUGGUCCAGUGGUGAGGACUCAGCACUCUCAUAGCCGAGGCCCAGGUUCAAUCCCUGGUCAGGGAG